UGCCCUAGUAACGGCGAGUGAAGCGGCAACAGCUCAAAUUUGAAAUCUGGCUUCGGCCCGAGUUGUAAUUUGUAGAGGAAACUUUUGGUGAGGCACCUUCUGAGUCCCUUGGAACAGGGCGCCAUAGAGGGUGAGAGCCCCGUAUAGUCGGAUGCCGAUCCAAUGUAAAGUUCCUUCGACGAGUCGAGUAGUUUGGGAAUGCUGCUCAAAAUGGGAGGUAAAUUUCUUCUAAAGCUAAAUAUAGGCCAGAGACCGAUAGCGCACAAGUAGAGUGAUCGAAAGAUGAAAAGCACUUUGAAAAGAGGGUUAAAUAGCACGUGAAAUUGUUGAAAGGGAAGCGUUUGUGACCAGACUUGCGCCGUUCCGAUCAUCCGGUGUUCUCACCGGUGCACUCGGGGCGGCUCAGGCCAGCAUCGGUUUUGGUGGGGGGAUAAAGGUCCAGGGAACGUAGCUCCUCCGGGAGUGUUAUAGCCCUGGGCGUAAUGCCCUCGCUGGGACCGAGGUUCGCGCAUCUGCAAGGA
rnacentral:rRNA from 1 species